GUUCAAAUGAGGAAGGGCUUAUGGUGGAUACCUAGGCACCCAGAGAUGAGGAAGGGCAUGGUAAGCGAUGAAAUGCUUUGGGGAGUUGAAAAUGAGCAUAGAUCCGGAGAUUCCUGAAUAGGUUAACCUUUUUAACUGCCGUUGAGUCCAUGGGCAGGCAAGAGACAACCUGGCGAAUCGAAACAUCUUAGUAGCCAGAGGAAUAGAAAGAAAAAUCAAUUCCCAUAGUAGCGGCGAGUGAAAUGGGAGUAGCCUAAACCAUGAAAAUGGGGUUGUGGGAGAGCAAAAUAUAAGCUCUGUGCUGCUAGGCGAAGCGGUUAAGUCCUACACCCUAGAUGGUGAGAUUCUAGUAGCCAAAAGAAUCAUUGGGUUAUGCUCUAACCCGAGUAGCAUGGGGCACAUGGAAUCCUAUGUGAAUCAGUAAGGACCACCUUGCAAGGCUAAAUACUCCUGGGUGAUCGAUAGCGAAGUAGUACCAUGAGGAAAAGGUGAAAAUAACCCCCAUCAGGGAGUGAAAUAGAACAUGAAACCAUAAGCUCCCAAGCAGUGGGAGGAAAAUGAUAUCUCUGACCAUGUGCCUGUUGAAGAAUGAGUCGACGACUUAUAGGUAGUGGAUUGGUUAAGGGAACCCACUAGAGCCAUAGUGAGAGCRAGUCUUCAUGGGGAAAUUGUCACUACUUAUGGACCCGAACCUGGGUGAUCUAUCCAUGACCAGGAUGAAKAUUUGGUGAAACUAAGUGGAGGUAUGAACCGAAUGAUGUUGAAAAAUCAUCGGAUGAGUCAUGGUUAGGGGUGAAAUGCCACUCGAAUCCAGAKCUAGCUGGUUCACCCCAAAAUGUGUUGAGGCAUAGAAGUUGACUGGACCAUCUAGGGGUAAAKCACUGUUUCGGUAUAGGCCACAAGAGCAGUACCAAAUUGAGGCAAACUCYGAAUACUAGAUUGCCCCAAUAAAAGGGGUAAAGGUCCUCUAGUGAGACGAURGGGGAUAAGCUUCAUUGUCGAGAGGGAAACAACCUAGAUCAUCAGCUAAGGCCCCUAAAUGACCRCUCAAUGAUGAAGGAAGUACGAGUGCAAAGACAGCCAGGAGGUUUGCCUAGAAGUAGCCAAMCUUGAAAGAGUGCGUAAUAGCUCAUUGAUUGAGCGCUCUUUACSCUGAAGAUGAACGAGACGAAGYGAUCUGCUGAAGCUGUGGGAUGUAAAAAUACAUYGGUAGGGGAGCAUUCCRCCUCAAAGGGAAGCACYGGUGCGAGAAGGUGUGGAUGAAGCGGAAGCGAGAAUGUCAGCUUGAGUAAUGCAAACAUUGGUGAGAAUCCAAUGCCCCGAAAACAUAAGGUUUCCUUUGCAAGGUUCRUCCAYGGAGGGUGAGUCAGGUCCUAAGAUYAGGCCAAAAGKCAUAGUCGAUGGACAACAGGUUAAUAUUCAUGUACUACCCCUUGUUGGUCUCGAGGGACAGAGGAGGCUAGGUUAGCUGAAACAUGGUUAUCGAUUCAAGGACGCAAGGUGACCCUGCAUUUUUCAGGGUAAGAAGGGGUAGAGAAAAAUCCUCGAGCCAAUGUCUAAGUACCAAGUGCUACAGUGCUGAAGUAAUCCAUGCUAUACUCCUAGGAAAAGCUCGAACAACCUUUAACAAAUGGUAACCUGUACCCAAAACGUACACAGGUAGGUAGGUAGAGAAUAACUAGGGGCACGAGAAAACUCUCUCUAAGGAACUUGGCAAAAUAGCCUCGUAAGUUCGGAAGAAGGGGUGCCUCCUCAGGAGGUCAUAGUGACUAGGCUCGAGUGACUGUUUACCAAAAAAACAGGUCUCUGCAAAGUCAUAAUACCAUGUAUGGGGGCUAAUGCCUACCCAGUGCCAGAAGGUUAAGGAAGUUGGUGACUUGAUGAUGGGGAAGUCAAUGAUCGAAGCCCUAGUGAAUGGCGGACGUAACUAUAAUGGUCCUAAGGUAGAUAAAUUCCUUGUCGAGUAAGUUCCAACCUGUACGAAAGGCGUAAUGAUCUGGGCAUUGUUUCGGAGAGAGACUCAGUGAAAUAGACAUGUCUGUGAAGAUGUGAACUACCUGCACCUGGACAAAAAGACCUUAUGAAGCUUUACUAUUCCCUGGGAUUGUCUUUGGGUUCUUCUUGCGCAACUUAGGUGGAAGGCGAAGAAGGAUCCCUCUUAGGGGGGCCUGAGCCACCAGUGAGAUACCACUCUGGAAGAGCUAGAAUUCUAACCUUGUGUCAGGACCUACGGGCCAAGGGACAGUCUCAGGUAGAUAGUUUCUAUGGGGUGUAGGCCUCCCAAAAGGUAACGAAGGCAUGCAAAGGUUUCCUUAGGCUGGACGGAAAUUGACCCUCGAGUGCAAAGGAAAAAGGGAGCUUGACUGCAAGACCCACCCAUCGAGCAGGGACACAAUUCUCCCUUAGUGAUCCAAUGGUACCAAGUGGAAGGGUCGUCGCUCAAUGGAUAAAAGUUACUCUAGGGAUAACAGGUUGAUUUUUCUCAAGAGUUCACAUCGACGGGAAGGUUUGGCACUUCGAUGUCAUCUCUUCGCCGCCUGGGGAGGUAGUACAUUCCAAGGGUUGGGUUGUUCUCCCAUUAAAGUGGUACAUGAGUUGGGUUCAGAAUGUUGUGAGGCAAUUUGGUCCAUAUUCGGUGUGGGCAUUAGAGCAUUGAGAGGACCUUUCCCUAGUACGAGAGGACCGAGAAGGAUGCACCUCUGUUGUUAUCAUGCCCACGGUAGACGUUGGGUAGCCAAGUGCAGAGAGGAUAACUACUGAAAGCAUAUAAGUAGGAAUCCCACCCCAAGAUGAGUGCUCUCCUAUUCUUACUUCCUUGAGAGACCUAGUCAUGAAUAGGGCUGGGACAACGAUAGGUUCUCUUUCCUUGUAGGGGAUGGAGCGAAAAAGGUAUUGAGAAUCCAAGAUAAGGUCACGGUGAUAUGAGCCGUUUAUCAUUAUGAUAGGUGUCAAGUGGAAGUGCAGUGAUGUAUGCAGCUGAGGCAUCCUAAUAGACCGAGAGAUUUGAACCU
rfam:Picea glauca, whole genome shotgun sequence.